rnacentral:rRNA from 1 species
GCAAGGUUAACCGAAUAGGGGAGCCGGAGGGAAACCGAGUCUUAACCGGGCGUUAAGUUGCAGGGUAUAGACCCGAAACCCGGUGAUCUAGCCAUGGGCAGGUUGAAGGUUGGGUAACACUAACUGGAGGACCGAACCGACUAAUGUUGAAAAAUUAGCGGAUGACCUGUGGCUGGGGGUGAAAGGCCAAUCAAACCGGGAGAUAGCUGGUUCUCCCCGAAAGCUAUUUAGGUAGCGCCUCGUGAAUUCAUCUCCGGGGGUAGAGCACUGUUUCGGCUAGGGGGCCAUCCCGGCUUACCAACCCGAUGCAAACUGCGAAUACCGGAGAAUGUUAUCACGGGAGACACACGGCGGGUGCUAACGUCCGUCGUGAAGAGGGAAACAACCCAGACCGCCAGCUAAGGUCCCAAAGUCAUGGUUAAGUGGGAAACGAUGUGGGAAGGCCCAGACAGCCAGGAUGUUGGCUUAGAAGCAGCCAUCAUUUAAAGAAAGCGUAAUAGCUCACUGGUCGAGUCGGCCUGCGCGGAAGAUGUAACGGGGCUAAACCAUGCACCGAAGCUGCGGCAGCGACGCUGAUGCGUUGUUGGGUAGGGGAGCGUUCUGUAAGCCUGCGAAGGUGGCCUGUGAGGGUUGCUGGAGGUAUCAGAAGUGCGAAUGCUGACAUAAGUAACGAUAAAGCGGGUGAAAAGCCCGCUCGCCGGAAGACCAAGGGUUCCUGUCCAACGUUAAUCGGGGCAGGGUGAGUCGACCCCUAAGGCGAGGCCGAAAGGCGUAGUCGAUGGGAAACGGGUUAAUAUUCCCGUACUUGGUGUUACUGCGAAGGGGGGACGGAGAAGGCUAUGUUGGCCGGGCGACGGUUGUCCCGGUUUAAGCGUGUAGGUGUGUGUUCCAGGUAAAUCCGGUU